UAAACAAGAAAAACUGAGAAGAAUAUUCUAUUGUAGUGAAUAAUGUGUAAUACAAAUGAUUGGGGUCUCCUUUAUAUAGGAGGAGAAAACCUCAAUAUAUUACAUUCAUAAUUGAGGUAAAGAAUUCUAUUGGUACAGGUGUAUAACAACCUAGUAUGGACCUGUACCAUUUCAUACAAAUCUUAUCCUUUAAUUUAUGCCCUGAUUCACGUGUCCUUGAGAAAUUUUUGCUCUUUCUUGAGUGCCAUCGAGAAUGUACUGCCCUCGAUGUAGGUCGUAUCAGACCUUCGAUCUGCUUUCUCGAGGUGUGUAUCCUUCAGCCGGGUCCGACCCCUACUCCAAGUCGCUCGGACUCGGACUCAUAGCCUAAUUCAAGACUUCAAAAUCGGGCUCCUUGAUUUUGACCGUAUACAGAGUGUAACCUAGCAAUCAGAAUUCAACACGUCGUAUUUUAUUGGGAAGGAUCGAACUAUGAAAAGGAAUCUACUAGAGCCGGCUCAAAAGGCUUGACAAGUAAGACAUAUGCCGGGUGAAAUUCAAAAAUAGCCAGAUUUACAAGUGGUAAUUGAAAAAUAGCCACAGUAUAAUAUACUGGAAGUUCAUACUCAGGUACUCCAAUCUCCAGUAUAUUAUGUUGAAACUUUCUGUGUGCUGGAGUUCCAGUAUAAUAUGCUGGAAGUUCAUACAGAGGUGCUCCAACCUAGAUUAUGCUGGAACUUUUCGUAUUGCAGCAAAAUAUUGGGUAUUUCUCAAUGACUUUGCAAACGCUGACUAUUUUUUAAUUACCAAUCCGAAAAUUGGCUAGCUCGUGCUAUUUUAACCAUAUCCUUAGGCCCCCAAUUUAAAGGGGCCCCAAUUUUAGAAGAAAUAGGUUAUAUAUUCAUUUUUCCUUAAAAAUAUUUAAGCAUUUUAUAGUAAAAAUUUAUCGCCGUUAAGUUGAUGUGACUGUUGAAGAAUGAAAAAGUCACUCUGAUAAAACUUUUAUCCUUAUAAUUUUCUUAAACUUGAUGUAACCUUCAUUUUGCAUAAGUGAAUGUCACCUUUUUCAUUUUGCGUAAGUGAAUGUAUAACCUAAAGAAAAAUGAACGAAUCCAAUGAACCACGCUUGUACAAUGAAAAAGGCUAUGAUUUAUCUCUCCACCAAAUCAAAUUGGCUAAAGGUGUUUAUUAAAAUAUAUUAAGAGAAUUGUGUUAAACAUUUUGCACGUUCAAAAUAAAAAUUGUACACAAUUACACAUAAAUUGAUAUAAUUUAUUUUCUUUUAAUUUUGUUUAACAAUAAACUUACAUACUUUCCUCCCUAGUUCUGGUGGGCGCACAGUCCAAGAUAAUGUGAUUUCUUGGGAUACAGUCCGAUCUUCCAAAUUUCAAGCAUUUAAUUUCUGCUGUGUUUUUUUUAAAGCUUUAUCAGUAGGAAAAGUUUAAUGAAAAAAAACAGAAAAAGAAAAAGAGAAGAGAACAAGAAUAUUUAAGGUGAUAAUUUCCAGAUAAUAUUCAAGCUCGGAAAAUUUUUUAACUACAUAAUAAAUGAAAUAAAAUAUAAAUUUUUUAAUUAUGAUUAAGUAGUAAUAAAAAUUUAUGUGGAAACAUGUAUUAUUCAAUUAUCGAUUAAGUAAAUAUUGAGUGCAUUUAAAAAUAAAAAUAAAAAACAAUAGUGUGGUACUCGAAAGCUAUUAGUUCAACUAAUUCAAACGUGCCACUUAGACUCAUAUAAGGAAGGAUCGAAAUUGAGAUCCUUUUCAGUUCAAUAAAUACAUUUUUUUAAUAUUCGGUUAUAGAUAUCCUAGUUUCGAUUAAUUCGGAUUUAUGUGACACAUGUUUAUUCUGUAAAAAUAAAAUGGGCUAGCCAGUUUUCGGACUGGUCAUUCAAAAAUAGCCGGUGUUUGCAAAGUCAUUAAAAAAUAGUCACUAUUUUGUUGCAACACGAAGUUCCAACAUAAUAUACUAGAGAUCAGUGCACCUCUGUACGAACUUCCAGCAUAUUAUGCUGGAACUACAACACGCGGAAAGUUCCAGUAUAUUAUGCUGGACCAGUACAUUAUACUGGAGUUCCAAUAAAUUAUACUGGAGUAUUUUUCCGGAUUUGAACAGUGUUUUCGUUCAGAUUUAUCUUUACAUGAAAAGUGGCUAAAUUUCGACUACUUCUGAAACUGUGGUUAUUUUUGAAUGACCACUUGUAAAUCUGAUUAUUUUAAAAUUUCUUCCAUCUAUUCUAGAACAGUUUCAUUCUAGGCUCGAACGGGAAAAUUGUGAUUAAAAUAAAAAAAUCUUAUUCAUCUCAUCAUAUUCUUUGGUGAUGAUUCUAAAAAUACUUGGUCCAGGUCCACUCUUAUUUUUUAUUUUUUUGGCUUUUACUAUUGUUUGCUACUUGUUGCCUUAUCUCUACUGUUUCUUGAGCCGAUGAUCUAUCGGAAACAACCUCUCUAUCUUUAUAAGGUAGAGGUAAGGUCUGCGUACACACUACCCUCCUCAGACGCCAUUUAUUGGAUUACACUGGGUUUGUUGUUAUUGUCGUUGUUGUUGUUUUUUAUCCGGUAUCCUAUAUUCAUAUUGAGGCCCGAUUAAAUUCGAGUUCAUGACGAAAAAUCUCACGUUGGGAUAAAGCGUUCCCGACAAAAGGAAUCUGCUUUUUUUUUCUUUCCUUUUCCUAGCUUGAGAAGGCUUUGUAAAGGACAAAUAUACCCUUAUUGAAAAAGUCCAAAAUAGAAACUGAGAAGCAAUUUCAUAUACUCGUUAGGCCAAGCAAAGGCAACUGUUUCUUAGUUGUAUUCCUAUGGCUUUUCCCUAUGUUCCCUUCUCCGAAACCCCUCUAUACCCUCCAAUCUCUCCUAUAUGUUAUUCACAAACACACCCUUUUUCCCAAACAAAGCUUCUUCUCUCAAAUUCACUUCUAAGUUUCUCUUUAAUAUUACUUUCUUCAACAAUGGCUACUUCAAGAAAAUCCAACUUCAAUGAUCUUUUGCCACUUAUGGCUGAAAAACUAGGUGGGGAUGGUUUGAUUGGUGAAUUAUGUAAAGGGUUUCAAUUAUUAAUGGAUAAGGAUAAAGAUGUCAUUACAUUUGAGAGUCUAAAAAAGAAUUCUGCUUUGUUAGGGCUUCAAGAUUUGAGUGAUGAUGAUCUUAAGAGUAUGCUAAAAGAAGGUGAUUUUGAUGGAGAUGGAGCUCUUAAUCAGAUGGAAUUUUGUGUUUUGAUGUUUAGAUUGAGUCCUGAAUUAAUGGAACAAUCUCAGUUUUUCUUAGAAGAAGCUCUUAACCAAGAUUUUGACUUUUCAUUCUAACUUUUGUCUUUAUUUGACUCUUUGAGAUUGUGACUUUGCAUUGUAACUAUUCAACUUUUUACUUCCUAUAAUGUAAUACAUUGCAAACAUAUAUAGAGAAACAAGAAUUAAUGGCCAUACUUUCUUGAAUAUUCAUACUUGUAACUUAGAGUAAUAUAGUUGAUAUUUUGGGUAAAUGUGCAUUUGAUUUGUGGAUUUUAUUUUCUGGUUUCAAUAGGUAAAAUUGGGAAAGAUGAGAGUACUUUGGAUUUUCCAAAAUCUGCUGUACUAAAUCGCAUAAUGAUCUUCCGUUGAUCACUUAUUGGUUAUUAUUAUGAUCAUUUUUAUAAAGUGAGAUAUCCUAGAAAAAUCAUAGAUCGCCUAUGUAUUAUUAAGAGACUGCUCAUAUAUUAUUUAUGAUCGCCUAAGUGAUCUCCGUCGAUCGCAUAUUAUUGAUUAUCAGGAUUCUAUUUUAUUAUUUUUAUAAAGUGGGAGAUCCUGUUGAAAUCAUAGAUCGCUUAUGUAUUACUCAGAAAGCAUCCAUAUAUUAUUUAUGAUCGUUAACACUCUGUUUGGAUCACUGUUCCCCAUCGUUUUAUAAUGUAUCGUAUUGUACCGUAUUGUAUUGUAUCGUAUCGUUUUUUGAAUACAAUGUUUGGAUAGAUUGUAUUGUUUGCUGUUGUUAAAUAACAUUUUGCUGUUUGAUUUGACUAUAUCAUAUUGUACUGUAACUGAUAAGUUUACUAAAAUAUCCUCAAUUGUUUUAAAUAUUUAAUUUAUUAAGAAUUACACAUAAAAAUUANNNNNNNNNNNNNNNNNNNNNNNNNNNNNNNNNNNNNNNNNNNNNNNNNNNNNNNNNNNNNNNNNNNNNNNNNNNNNNNNNNNNNNNNNNNNNNNNNNNNNNNNNNNNNNNNNNNNNNNNNNNNNNNNNNNNNNNNNNNNNNNNNNNNNNNNNNNNNNNNNNNNNNNNNUCAUAACUUGAAGUAUAUAGCAUAAAAGUUUUCUAACAUGACAUAUAAUUCAUAAUGAAAUACUCAUAUUCAAUAAAAUCCUUAACGGUUAUACCAUAAAAUAAUAACACUUUGCACACUUGAAAACAAUCAAUAUCAUAAAGCUAAUUGGAGAUAAAAUAAUUAGAAAUUGGAAUUACAAAUCAAAGUAGAAGAAAUAAUGAGACAAAAGUAAAACAAAACCCAUACCUGAAGAUAUGGAAGCGGCAGAAGGA
rnacentral:lncRNA from 1 species